rnacentral:rRNA from 1 species
UGCAGUCGAACGAUGAUGCCCAGCUUGCUGGGUGGAUUAGUGGCGAACGGGUGAGUAACACGUGAGUAACCUGCCCCUGACUCUGGGAUAAGCGUUGGAAACGACGUCUAAUACUGGAUAUGACUGCCGGCCGCAUGGUCUGGUGGUGGAAAGAUUUUUUGGUUGGGGAUGGACUCGCGGCCUAUCAGCUUGUUGGUGAGGUAAUGGCUCACCAAGGCGACGACGGGUAGCCGGCCUGAGAGGGUGACCGGCCACACUGGGACUGAGACACGGCCCAGACUCCUACGGGAGGCAGCAGUGGGGAAUAUUGCACAAUGGGCGAAAGCCUGAUGCAGCAACGCCGCGUGAGGGAUGACGGCCUUCGGGUUGUAAACCUCUUUUAGUAGGGAAGAAGCGUAAGUGACGGUACCUGCAGAAAAAGCACCGGCUAACUACGUGCCAGCAGCCGCGGUAAUACGUAGGGUGCAAGCGUUGUCCGGAAUUAUUGGGCGUAAAGAGCUCGUAGGCGGUUUGUCGCGUCUGCUGUGAAAUCCCGAGGCUCAACCUCGGGCUUGCAGUGGGUACGGGCAGACUAGAGUGCGGUAGGGGAGAUUGGAAUUCCUGGUGUAGCGGUGGAAUGCGCAGAUAUCAGGAGGAACACCGAUGGCGAAGGCAGAUCUCUGGGCCGUAACUGACGCUGAGGAGCGAAAGCGUGGGGAGCGAACAGGAUUAGAUACCCUGGUAGUCCACGCCGUAAACGUUGGGCGCUAGAUGUAGGGACCUUUCCACGGUUUCUGUGUCGUAGCUAACGCAUUAAGCGCCCCGCCUGGGGAGUACGGCCGCAAGGCUAAAACUCAAAGGAAUUGACGGGGGCCCGCACAAGCGGCGGAGCAUGCGGAUUAAUUCGAUGCAACGCGAAGAACCUUACCAAGGCUUGACAUACACCGGAAACGGCCAGAGAUGGUUGCCCCCUUGUGGUCGGUGUACAGGUGGUGCAUGGUUGUCGUCAGCUCGUGUCGUGAGAUGUUGGGUUAAGUCCCGCAACGAGCGCAACCCUCGUUCUAUGUUGCCAGCGCGUUAUGGCGGGGACUCAUAGGAGACUGCCGGGGUCAACUCGGAGGAAGGUGGGGAUGACGUCAAAUCAUCAUGCCCCUUAUGUCUUGGGCUUCACGCAUGCUACAAUGGCCGGUACAAAGGGCUGCGAUACCGUAAGGUGGAGCGAAUCCCAAAAAGCCGGUCUCAGUUCGGAUUGAGGUCUGCAACUCGACCUCAUGAAGUCGGAGUCGCUAGUAAUCGCAGAUCAGCAACGCUGCGGUGAAUACGUUCCCGGGCCUUGUACACACCGCCCGUCAAGUCAUGAAAGUCGGUAACACCCGAAGCCGGUGGCCUAACC